rnacentral:ncRNA from 1 species
AUGCAAAUUCAACUGUGCUUUUUUGACUUCUUUUUUCUCCAAUGAUUUUUGGAGGCUAGACCGUUUGUAGAAGAUAAGUCAAAAACGAACAGAAAGCCUCCCAAAUGGGAGGCUUUUUUA